CGGUUUGUUCAUACUUUUUGCUCAACUGAGAAGGCUGGAUACCUGCAGCGUCCCUGUGGCAAAGUAAGGUAAUCUACGUCAUUUCCUGAUAGGAGGCCCCUGGUUUAUUUUGCCAUCCAUUUUCAAAGCUUUUGUAUCCCGGGAGAGAUCCUGGGUGACUGAUUUCCCCUUCAGGUAGUUCCUCUGGAGUCUGGAAGGCGAGGUUCUCGCCACGCGCUCGAAGGUGGACGUGAUUGAUGCUUGAUAUCCUGGUGCUGUUGGGGGGAGGUCUUUGUUCAACCAAGCUAGCCCCAGAUGGCCACACCCGAACCCGGUUUGUUUGCACCAUCAGUAAUAAGCCAAGAGUUAGAUUUGAGUGGUUUUAAAGCAGGGCCAUCCCAACCUGCUUUCUCAACUGGUGACUGAAGGGGAGCCGUUGGUUUUUGGUGGAUGGUUUGCAAUUGCAUCAAAUCUUCAGUGUCCCUCCCAACCCAUCGCAAAACGAUGCCGCGGGCGUUUGCAAUAACGUGAUUGGCACGAAAGUCAGGAUAGGAUACAAAGACAAUUAAGUUAAGUUCAAGUUAUUUAGUGAGUUAACUAACAAUGAAACUUUAGACCUGUUACGUAAGAAAGACGUAACUGGACAGCUAGUUAGUUAGCCAGCGAGUUAGUUGACUUGAGUCUUUAGCUACAAUUUUGGCUUGGUCAAUGUGGAGCUCCCUCUAGGUAAAUUGAAAAUAAUGGCCUUUCUCAGGUCAUAUGCAGAUCGGAGUUACAAGUGGAAUUAGGGAUCAGAAGUGAAGAUGACCCGGGUUAUGGUUGGAGUUAGUUAAGCACAAGGGCGUGGAUGAAGAGGGAAACCAGAGAGAUGCCAGUCAGGCAUACAUAGUUAGCUACAGUUGAAACAUCACUAUUAGGUGCUCCGUAGCUUAAAGCACAACAAAAAGUCGUGCAUAGUUGUAAAGG
rnacentral:sRNA from 1 species